rnacentral:misc_RNA from 1 species
UGGCUGUUGGGGUGCAAUCGGAGG